rnacentral:rRNA from 1 species
CCUACGGGGGGCAGCAGUGGGGAAUAUUGGGCAAUGGGCGCAAGCCUGACCCAGCAAUGCCGCGUGAAGGAAGAAGUCUCUCGGUUUGUAAACUUCUAUGACAGGGGAAGAGCAGAAGACGAUACCUUGAAAACAAGCCACGGCUAACGACGUGCCAGCAGCCGCGGUAAUACGUAGGUGGCAAGCGUUGUCCGGAUUUACUGGGUGUAAAGGGCGCGUAGCCGGGAAUGCAAGUCAGAAGUGAAAUGCGGAGGCUCAACCUCCGAAUUGCAUUUGAAACUGUUUUUCUUGAGUACUGGAGAGGCAGACGGAAUUCCUUGUGUAGCGGUGAAAUGCGUAGAUAUAAGGAGGAACACCAGUGGCGAAGGCGGUCUGCUGGACAGCAACUGACGGUGAGGCGCGAAAGCGUGGGGAGCAAACAGGAUUAGAUACCCUAGUAGUC